UAUCAGGGGUUUCUGCUUUUGCUUCUUCCCUCAUUCUUUCUUGCGGCCACCAUGUAAGAAGUGCUUUUCGCCCUGCACAAUGAUUCUGAGAAAUUCCCCAGACAUGUGGAACUUAGCACUGCCAGGGGUUGUUCGGAGCAGCUGCCUGACUGCAAAGGUCAAGGGAUUGGGUUUCCACCUUGCAGUGACGUCCUGAGAGGUGUGCACGGGACCCCAUGGAGAGAAGGCUGUGGAUUGCCCCAUCUGGCUCACCCAUCCAGAUAUUGAUGGAGCAGCCACUCUAUGCUGGACACUGGGAAUCUAGCAGUGAACAAAACAAAUUCCCUGCCCCAGCUGAGCUAACAUCCUAGGCAGGGAAUCAAACAAUACGGCCUGGGUGAUGCAUCUCAACUACCCUUCCCCCUUGCUGUUCCUUGAACAAGUGGACACACUCCUACCUCCAAGCCUUUGCACCUGCUGUUCCUGCUGCCCGGAACACAGGUGGGGCCCACUCCCUCACUUCUUUCAGUUCUUUGCUUAAAUGUCACCUUCUCAGGGAGGCCUUCUCUCAUCCCC
rnacentral:lncRNA from 1 species